AUCCAGAAAUGUGAGCUCAAGUGCUGGUUUUUGACCGGUGAUGGUGAUAUUGAAGACAGUGCUGGAACUGUUUAUAACUCAACUCAAUGGAGCAACAAUGGCAGUAAGUGUUCCAAUCCUGCACCUUCUUUCAGUGAAACCAAUGAUGGUCAUGUGUCUCUUCACAAUGAAUUAGAUGGAAGUGCUUACUCUGAUGUCAGUCAUAAUUCUGAAAAGCGCAGAAGGAGUCAACGAAGUAGCAAAAACGUAUCUCAGACUGAUAGUAAGCCAGCCAUCACAAAUGAAGCGAAGUUUUCUAAAGAAGCCUCAAUUAAAACAUCUGAAUCCAGGAAUGAGGACUCUGUUGCUGGAUUUACAGCCGGUAAUGAAGAUAUCGAAGACGGUGCUGAGUCUGUCAAUGACUCUGCUCAAUGGAGCAAUAAUGAUAGUAGAUAUUUCGAUCAUCCAAAUCCUGCUCCUCCUUUCAAUGAAUCUAAUGAUGAGCAUGUUUCCUUACAUGAUGGAUCAGAUGAAAGUGCUAACUCUGCAAAUUUCAGCUCACAUAAUGCUACUCCUGGCCCACAGCCUGGACCAUCUCGAAUCUCAAUCGGUACUAAUAUGAAUGAAUUUUUCGCGAAACCAUUGCAUCCUGUGAACAAGCGGUUGGAAAGAUUUUCAUCCACCAGCUUGACAAAGUCAAAUGACUCCAUAUCUCUACUUUCAAAGUGUAUGCAGAAACAAAAGAAAACAUCGCCAAAGAACAAUGGAGCUUCUAGUGGCAGGACCUUGAGAGAUCGGGAUGAUGGUUUCCCUAAAUAUGCUGCACCUAAACUUGCCAGACCCGCGUACUGGGUUACCAAUCGACUCUACUCAUUCUUAGAGGAGAAGCUUCACUCAGAGCAUGGUAUCUAUUCCAAAAAAGUAGCUGAAAAAUUCAUUCAGUUUUUGCAAGAAAAGUGCAAAAAACUCAUGAAAACGUCUGAUACAGAAUUGGAGGACGAAAUAAUCUCGGAUUCAAGAUGUAAUGGUGAAAUUACGUAUCACCAACUCUGA
rnacentral:lncRNA from 1 species